CCCACAGAGCUCGGGGAUGGCAUUCCAGUUCCCCUCUCUGGAAGAAUGGAGAGAACCUUUUCUCCUGCUCAGCACCAGCUGAGAGCUCCCAGGAAGCUACAGUGAAUACACGGCUUUGAUUUUCCUUGACCUCAUUGUACCUAAUCAGAUAAGCCAACCUGCUGAAGAAAUUCAGUUCUUUUCAGCUGGAAGUUUCACACCUGGGUAUAGUUCUGUCCCUCUGAGGUGCCUGUUGUUGAGCAGAGAUGUUGAUCGUUAUUUCAGUGAGUAAGAUCAUUAUCCAAAAAACAGUCUCUGCAUCUGGCAAAGGUGUUGAACUGCUAACAAAACCCAGAAGGAAGCAUGGCUGUGGUUUCCAUACUUCACUCCCAGUCAACGAUCUCCCCAUAGGCAAAGACCACAAUCCAGUGGUCCCUGAUGCUGCUGGUGGAUGCUCUUCCGUUACAAUUACAGUGAGAUUUCCCAACAGUUACUCUGUCAAGUCAAUUGAGAAGAGAAUGAAGAUAGAAAUAAAUUCCCUUUUCUAUGUCGGAGACACUGCCUUUAAGAAUUUAGUUCCAGAAUCUCUCAUUGGAAACAGCAGUAACUGUUGAUGACGGUGAAUGAGAAUGGCAAGUGAAAGUACUCACCAACGCAACACUUUCAGACAUGAUGUUUCGAAGCACUGUUCACACUGCUGCAUCACCACUGGGGAACGAAAGCUGAAGAAUCACACCGUAAUCCCCUUCUGAUAGUGAAAUAUUGAAAAAAAGUAAUGGGUCCCUUACAAGAAGGCUUAGGAAAUGAAUGGUCAGAGCCUAGACUGAGUGCCAUCUCCUUACAUGCCACUUUUUAUGCUGUUCUGGAUUUUAUUAACUACUAUAAAAUUGACCUGCAGUGGCAGUUGAAUAUUUCAGUCCUGCAGAUCCAGCAGUAGAGAGCUGGGCUUGCUUUCAGGUGUAAAUACUGCUGUAAGAGCCUAAAUCUAAGAAUUUCACCUCACUAUUGCUCUGCAGCACUCUAAAACUGACAAAAUCAAUGUGUAUUCUAAUAGACAGGAACAAAUUGGGUCUUAAAGUGUAAAUAGGGCUGUGUGGAAUACAAUAAAGUAAAUUUAACUAGUGAAAUGUAUUAACUGUAGUGAUUGCUCUGUAUUCGGGGAGGAUAAUUUAUGUCAUGAUUGUCAGUACUGCUGGAAUUCCCACCCCAGAUCUUGAAGGUCAUCGGCUGAGCUGGGACCUGAGCCUUUCCAAAGGUAAAGAAAGUACUUUCAAUUAGAUUAAACCUCAUUAUUAUUUUCCAAGUCGUCUCACCUCCGUCACAGAGCCAACGUCUGAGAACACGAAGCCUGUUGCUCGGUCCCUUGGGCCAUCCCUGCUGGGGCUGCAGCUUCUGGAGCAGCGGAGCAUCACUCACUGCUUCUUCCCCAGCAGAUGUCAGAGAAGAAAGAGCCUGAGAAACAUGGAUCCCUUCCUCAAGGCUGUGCUUGCAAAAGAAGGCUGUGAUUUGGUGGGAAUAAAUAACGCAUUUCCAAAGGAGCAUUUUCUGCCUUGGAAAUGCUUGCCCGGCUUUGGAUGAAGUUUUUGAAAUCUGAAGAGAAUCAUUUUGGCUUACUCAUUUCUCUAUUGUGUCAAAAUGCUUUGCUUCAUAAUAGCUUGAAGCUGUUUCACUUGGACUUUGAUACAGGAGAAUAUUAGCUGUAAUAACAGGAUAAGUACUAGACUAUAGCUGUUUUCCUUUUAUUGAAACAAAAGUUAGUGCUGUAUCAGAACUACACGAUCCACUAUGAGUGAAAAGAAACACUCCCACGUUCCCAAACCAAAUAAAAACAAAAACCUUGGUUACAGGAAAAUUCUGAUGUAUGUAUGUAUUUUUCAUUUAGAGUGAAAGCAAACUUCAGGGUUUUCUUCAGAGCUGAAAACCUGACCAGCAUCUCCAGUGACUGCCACACGGUGCAGGUUUGGCUGCUCAAGGCUUGCUGGAUGGCGCCUUCAAACACAGAGCAGCUUGCCAAGCCCAGCACCAGGCUCCAUCUGAAAGAGGUUUGGGAGGCCCUCACCCAGAAUUCAAUCUGGUUAGUGAUUUUCAUGAAUUCAUCAUAUUCUGUAUUCCCUCUCCUUUUCUGUACAACUGACAUAAAACCCAAACAGAAAAGUAGACUGGUAGAGAAGAGCCUUA